CUACGGGUCGCUGCAGUCGAGAAUUUUUCACAAUGGGGGAAACCCUGAUGGAGCGACGCCGCGUGGAGGCUGAAGGUUUUCGGAUUGUAAACUCCUGUCAUGCGGGAACAAGAAAGUGAUAGUACCGCAAGAGGAAGAGACGGCUAACUCUGUGCCAGCAGCCGCGGUAAUACAGAGGUCUCAAGCGUUGUUCGGAUUCAUUGGGCGUAAAGGGUGCGUAGGCGGCGUGGAAAGUUGAGUGUGAAAUCCUAGGGCUUAACCUUAGAACUGCACUCAAUACUCCCAUGCUAGAGGAAUGUAGAGGAGAGUGGAAUUCACGGUGUAGCAGUGAAAUGCGUAGAUAUCGUGAGGAGGACCAGUUGCGAAGGCGACUCUCUGGGCAUUUCCUGACGCUGAGGCACGAAGGCCAGGGGAGCAAACGGGAUUAGAUACCCGUGUAGUC
rnacentral:rRNA from 1 species